AGCAGCCGCCGCGGUAAUACGUAGGUGGCGAGCGUUGUCCGGAAUCAUUGGGCGUAAAGGGAGCGCAGGCGGGCAUGUAAGUCUUUCUUAAAAGUGCGGGGCUCAACCCCGUGAUGGGAAAGAAACUAUGUGUCUUGAGUACAGGAGAGGAAAGCGGAAUUCCCAGUGUAGCGGUGAAAUGCGUAGAUAUUGGGAGGAACACCAGUGGCGAAGGCGGCUUUCUGGACUGCAACUGACGCUGAGGCUCGAAAGCCAGGGGAGCGAACGGGAUUAGAUACCCCUGUAGUCCCUGUCUCUUAUACA
rnacentral:rRNA from 1 species